AUUGAACGCUGGCGGCAGGCUUAACACAUGCAAGUCGAGCGAGCGGCGGACGGGUGAGUAAUGUCUGGGAAACUGCCUGAUGGAGGGGGAUAACUACUGGAAACGGUAGCUAAUACCGCAUACCAUCAGAGGUGCCCAGAUGGGAAUAGCUAGUAGGUGGGGUAAUGGCACACCUAGGCGACGAUCCCUAGCUGGUCUGAGAGGAUGACCGUCCACACUGGAACGGUGACACGGUCCAGACUCCUACGGGAGGCAGCAGUGGGGAAUAUUGCACUAUUGGCGCAAGCCUGAUGCAGCCAUGCCGCGUGUGUGAAGAAGGCCUUCGGGUUGUAAAGCUCUUUCAGCUAGUAGGCGUUACUCGCAGAAGAAGCACUGGCUAACUCCGUGCCAGCAGCCGCGGUAAUAC
rnacentral:rRNA from 1 species